AGUGAACGCUGGCGGUAGGCCUAACACAUGCAAGUCGAACGGCAGCACAGUAAGAGCUUGCUCUUACGGGUGGCGAGUGGCGGACGGGUGAGGAAUACAUCGGAAUCUACUUUUUCGUGGGGGAUAACGUAGGGAAACUUACGCUAAUACCGCAUACGACCUACGGGUGAAAGCAGGGGAUCUUCGGACCUUGCGCGAUUGAAUGAGCCGAUGUCGGAUUAGCUAGUUGGCGGGGUAAAGGCCCACCAAGGCGACGAUCCGUAGCUGGUCUGAGAGGAUGAUCAGCCACACUGGAACUGAGACACGGUCCAGACUCCUACGGGAGGCAGCAGUGGGGAAUAGUGGACAAUGGGCGCAAGCCUGAUCCAGCCAUACCGCGUGGGUGAAGAAGGCCUUCGGGUUGUAAAGCCCUUUUGUUGGGAAAGAAAAGCAGCAGGUUAAUACCCUGCUGUUCUGACGGGACCCAAAGAAUAAGCACCCUAACUUCGUG
rnacentral:rRNA from 1 species